AGGGGGCAGGUGAGGGCCUUACCUGGCUGCCCAGGUGAUGGGGUGAGGGCCAGGGGGCAGGUGAUGGCCUUACCUGGCUGCCCAGGUGAUGGGGUGAGAGCCAGGGGGCAGGUGAGGGCCUUACCUGGCUGCCCAGGUGAUGGGGUGAGAGCCAGGGGACAGGUGAGGGCCUUACCUGGCUGCCCAGGUGAUGGGGUGAAGGCCAGGGGACAGGUGAUGGCCUUACCUGGCUGCCCAGGUGAUGGGGAUGCGGUGGGUGGCGUAGACAGUGAAGGCCAGGGGACA